rnacentral:rRNA from 1 species
AGCGAACGCUGGCGGCAGGCCUAACACAUGCAAGUCGAACGGAUCCUUCGGGAUUAGUGGCGGACGGGUGAGUAACACGUGGGAACGUGCCCUUUGGUUCGGAACAACUCAGGGAAACUUGAGCUAAUACCGGAUGUGCCCUUCGGGGGAAAGAUUUAUCGCCAUUGGAGCGGCCCGCGUCUGAUUAGCUAGUUGGUGAGGUAAAGGCUCACCGAGGCGACGAUCAGUAGCUGGUCUGAGAGGAUGAUCAGCCACAUUGGGACUGAGACACGGCCCAAACUCCUACGGGAGGCAGCAGUGGGGAAUCUUGCGCAAUGGGCGAAAGCCUGACGCAGCCAUGCCGCGUGAAUGAUGAAGGUCUUAGGAUUGUAAAAUUCUUUCACCGGGGACGAUAAUGACGGUAGCAGGAGAAUAAGCCCCGGCUAACUUCGUGCCAGCCGCCGCCGUAACAC